rnacentral:misc_RNA from 1 species
GUGAAGAACGUAGCGAAAUGCGAUACGUAAUGUGAAUUGCAGAAUUCAGUGAAUCAUCGAGUCUUUGAACGCACAUUGCGCCCCCUGGUAUUCCGGGGGGCAUGCCUGUCCGAGCGUCAUUGCUGCCCUCAAGCACGGCUUGUGUGUUGGGCCUCCGCCCCCCGGCUCCCGGGGGGCGGGCCCGAAAGGCAGCGGCGGCACCGCGUCCGGUCCUCGAGCGUAUGGGGCUUCGUCACCCGCUCCGUAGGCCCGGCCGGCGCCCGCCGGCGACCCCCCUCAAUCUUUCCAGGUUGACCUCGGAUCAGGUAGGGAUACCCGCUGAACUUAAGCAUAUCAAUAAGCGGAGGA